rnacentral:rRNA from 1 species
AUUGAACGCUGGCGGCAGGCCUAACACAUGCAAGUCGAGCGAGCGGCGGACGGGCGAGUAAUGUCUGGGAAACUGCCUGAUGGAGGGGGAUAACUACUGGAAACGGUAGCUAAUACCGCAUACCAUCAGAUGUGCCCAGAUGGGAUGAGCUAGUAGGUGGGGUAACGGGUCACCUAGGCGACGAUCCCUAGCUGGUCGGAGAGGAUGACAAGCCACACUGGAACUGUGACACGGGCCAGACUCCUACGGGAGGCAGCAGUGGGGAAUAUUGCACAAUGGGCGAAAGCCUGAUGCAGCCAUGCCGCGUGUGUGAAGAAGGCCUUCGGGUUGUAAAGCACUUUCAGCGGGGAGGCGGUAAGCGAAGAAGAAGCACCGGCUAACUCCGUGCCAGCAGCCGCGGUAAUAG